rnacentral:tRNA from 1 species
GGUGGCUCAGGGGUAGAGCGCUUGCCUAGCAUGCAGGAAGCCCUGGGUUCGAUUCCUCAGUACCA